rfam:Oryza sativa Japonica Group DNA, chromosome 3, cultivar: Nipponbare, complete sequence.
UUUAAGUGCACCUAUAGAUUUCCGCGUCUUAUUUUGAUCAUCCGUCUUAUUUGGAAAUAUUUUAUAAUUAGUAUUUUUGUUGUAAUGAGAUAAUAAAACAUGAAUUGGACUUUACUCGUAACUUAUUUUUUAUUUUUUUAAAUAAGACGGACGGUCAAAGUUGGACACGAAAAACCAUGGCUGCACUUAAA